UACGUAGGGUGCAAGCGUUGUCCGGAAUUAUUGGGCGUAAAGAGCUCGUAGGCGGUCUGUCGCGUCGGCUGUGAAAACUCGGGGCUCAACUCCGAGCUUGCAGUCGAUACGGGCAGGCUAGAGUUCGGCAGGGGAGACUGGAAUUCCUGGUGUAGCGGUGAAAUGCGCAGAUAUCAGGAGGAACACCAGUGGCGAAGGCGGUGCUCUGGGCCGGUACUGACGCUGAGGAGCGAAAGCGUGGGUAGCAAACAGG
rnacentral:rRNA from 1 species